rnacentral:rRNA from 1 species
CUGCCCUUGGGUCCGGCAUAACCCCGGGAAACUGGGGAUAAUUCCGGAUAACGCACAUAUGCUGGAAUGCUUUAUGCGUCAAAUGGAUUCGUCUGCCCAAGGAUGGGUCUGCGGCCUAUCAGGUAGUAGUGGGUGUAAUGUACCUACUAGCCGACGACGGGUACGGGUUGUGAGAGCAAGAGCCCGGAGAUGGAUUCUGAGACAUGAAUCCAGGCCCUACGGGGCGCAGCAGGCGCGAAAACUUUACAAUGCGGGAAACCGUGAUAAGGGGACACCGAGUGCCAGCAUCAUAUGCUGGCUGUCCGGGUGUGUAAAAUACACCUGUUAGCAAGGGCCGGGCAAGACCGGUGCCAGCCGCCGCGGUAACACCGGCGGCCCGAGUGGUGAUCGUGAUUAUUGGGUCUAAAGGGUCCGUAGCCGGUUUGGUCAGUCCUCCGGGAAAUCUGACGGCUUAACCGUUAGGCUUUCGGAGGAUACUGCCAGGCUUGGAACCGGGAGAGGUAAGAGGUACUACAGGGGUAGGAGUGAAAUCUUGUAAUCCCUGUGGGACCACCUGUGGCGAAGGCGUCUUACCAGAACGGGUUCGACGGUGAGGGACGAAAGCUGGGGGCACGAACCGGAUUAGAUACCCGG